GUUCAGCCUUCCUCACAUACAGUUGCAAGAAAAAGUAUGUGAACCCUUUGGAAUUAUAUGGAUUUCUGCACAAAUUGGUCAUAAAAUGUGAUCUGAUCAUCAUCUAAGUCACAACAAUAGACAAUCACAGUCUGCUUAAACUAAUAACACACAAAGAAUGAAAUGUUGCCAUGUUUUUAUUGAACACACCAUGUAAACAUGGUGUGUGUGUGUGGUCUUACCAGCGAUUUAUAAAGAGGCAAAAUUAUAUUUUCAUCUUGAGAAUGUAUGCCCCUAUUUAUACAUGACAAAACCUUACUGGCC